UACAGAGGGUGCAAGCGUCAAUCGGAAUUAUUGGGCGUAAAGGGUGCGUAGGUGGUUUGGUAAGUUAGAUGUGAAAGUCCUGGGCUUAACCUGGGAACUGCGUCUAAAACUAUCGAGCUAGAGUACUGUAGAGGAAGGUGGAAUUUCCGGUGUAGUGGUGAAAUGCGUAGAUAUCGGAAGGAACAUCAGUGGCGAAGGCGACUUUCUGGACAGAUACUGACACUGAGGCACGAAAGCGUGGGGAGCAAACAGG
rnacentral:rRNA from 1 species